AUUGAACGCUGGCGGCAUGCCUUACACAUGCAAGUCGAACGGUAACAGGUUAAGCUGACGAGUGGCGAACGGGUGAGUAAUGUAUCGGAACGUGCCCAGUCGUGGGGGAUAACUGCUCGAAAGAGCAGCUAAUACCGCAUACGACCUGAGGGUGAAAGCGGGGGAUCGCAAGACCUCGCGCGAUUGGAGCGGCCGAUAUCAGAUUAGGUAGUUGGUGGGGUAAAAGCCCACCAAGCCAACGAUCUGUAGCUGGUCUGAGAGGACGACCAGCCACACUGGGACUGAGACACGGCCCAGACUCCUACGGGAGGCAGCAGUGGGGAAUUUUGGACAAUGGACGCAAGUCUGAUCCAGCCAUGCCGCGUGCGGGAAGAAGGCCUUCGGGUUGUAAACCGCUUUUGUCAGGGAAGAAAAGGUUCUGGUUAAUACCUGGGACUCAUGACGGUACCGUAAGAAUAAGCACCGGCUAACUACGUGCCAGCCGCCGCUGUAACAC
rnacentral:rRNA from 1 species